rnacentral:rRNA from 1 species
AUUGAACGCUGGCGGCAGGCUUAACACAUGCAAGUCGAGCGGAGAGAGGUAGCUUGCUACUGAUCUUAGCGGCGGACGGGUGCGUAAUGCUUAGGAAUCUGCCUAUUAGUGGGGGACAACAUUUCGAAAGGAAUGCUAAUACCGCAUACGUCCUACGGGAGAAAGCAGGGGAUAUUCGGACCUUGCGCUAAUAGAUGAGCCUAAGGCGUAUUAGCUAGUUGGUGGGGUAAAGGCCUACCAAGGCGACGAUCUGUAGCGGGUCUGAGAGGAUGAUCCGCCACACUGGGACUGAGACACGGCCCAGACUACUACGGGAGGCAGCAGUGGGGAAUAUUGGACAAUGGGCGCAAGCCUGAUCCAGCCAUGCCGCGUGUGUGAAGAAGGCCUUAUGGUUGUAAAGCACUUUAAGCGAGGAGGAGGCUACUUUAGUUAAUACCUAGAGAUAGUGGACGUUACUCGCAGAAUAAGCACCGGCUAACUCUGUGCCAGCCGCCGCAGUAA